UAUAAAGAAUUUAUUUUAUUAAUUCUUUUAUUAUAA
rnacentral:tRNA from 1 species